rnacentral:rRNA from 1 species
AACGAACGCUGGCGGCAGGCCUAACACAUGCAAGUCGAGCGAGACCUUCGGGUCUAGCGGCGGACGGGUGAGUAACGCGUGGGAACGUGCCCUUUGGUACGGAAUAGCCCCGGGAAACUGGGAGUAAUACCGUAUAAGCUCUUCGGAGGAAAGAUUUAUCGCCAAAGGAUCGGCCCGCGUUGGGAUUAGGUAGUUCGGUGGGGUAAAUGGCCUACCAAGCUGACGAUCCAUAGCUGGUUUGAANAGGAUGAUCAGCCACACUGGGACUGAGACACGGCCCAGACUCCUACGGAGGCAGCAGUUGGGGAAUUUUGGACAAUGGGCGAAAGCCUGAUCCAGCCAUGCCGCGU